ensembl:lincRNA
AGUUCCGGGUCUUUGAGACUUCCGGUUCAUUGUCCAUUCGAGGCGCAGGAAGGUUCCGUCUGAUAUCCGAGUAUUUCAGAGAACCGAUCUAGGAGUAGGACGUGUGAAGUGUUGCACUGGGACAUCCGCGUACUUGCACUGCUCGGUGCAGCUAUUUUAGGUUUAACAGCCCCGCCGUAUACCUAGUUGUUUGCCCCACACUCACACCACUGUGACAGGGGACAUGGGGAGGCGAUUUUAGAAAAGCCUUUACUGAACUGGUUCCCCUCUGCUUCUACUGUUCUUAGUACCACCAUCCACACUCUCCUCCCUGUAUUGUAAUUGUUUUAUCUUGUGCAGUCUUGUUAUUUAUUGCUGUUGUCAUUCUGUAAAGCCCCUGGAGAAGCCACCUUUAAAGGCACUAUAUACACAGAGUUUUAUUAGGAUUAUUUCAGCAGAAAUGGAGCGGAGCGCCCAGAGUCCUCUGGAGGACAGACCUGGGCCAGACACCAACCCCAUGCCCCUGGUGAGGGGGCAGAUAUGGCCCCUUCGGCCCUGCCCCUGCCCCAGACCUGGUCGAUUCUCACCCCACCCUGCCCCACACUGAGAAACCAGACAUAAAAUACACCAAAAAUUUAAUGAGUAAAGUCGAUUUCCAAAAGAAAAAAAAAAUAAAAACUUACAAUGAGAUUUUUUUUCCUGCUUUCAAUUUGGAAAAAACAAACAUUUAACUGCCACAAGAACAAAAAGAGUACAGACGAUUACGCCAAGUGUGAACAGCAGACGACCGCCCUCUCCCCCCGGCUGAGCUGCUGCAGGCUGUCCGGCCCUCUCUCCUGGCCCUGGAGCCUGCGGUCCGCACCAGGGCACAGGCACAGCGUGUGUGUGUCUGUCUGUACGGCGUCAGUGCGUGUCUGUGUGUGGGCAGUGUGCGUCUGUACGGCGUCAGUGUGCGUCUGUACGUGUGCAGUGUGCGUCAGUGUGCGUCUGUACGGCGUCAGUGCGUGUGCAGUGUGUGGGCAGUGUGCGUCUGUACGGCGUCAGUGCGUGUGCA